UACGUAGGGGGCAAGCGUUGUCCGGAAUCAUUGGGCGUAAAGAGCGUGUAGGCGGUUCGGUAAGUCGGCUGUGAAAGUCCAGGGCUCAACCCUGGGAUGCCGGUCGAUACUGCCGGACUAGAGUUCGGAAGAGGCGAGUGGAAUUCCCGGUGUAGCGGUGAAAUGCGCAGAUAUCGGGAGGAACACCCAUGGCGAAGGCAGCUCGCUGGGACGUUACUGACGCUGAGACGCGAAAGCGUGGGGAGCAAACAGG
rnacentral:rRNA from 1 species